GAGCUCUCCGAGGCACUGAUGUAGGAAUCUUCCCCAUUCGCGGCACCAAGAGCAGCCUCACAUGGUGUGGGCUGACAUGAAGAGCUGCCAGAUCCAACAGAGAUUGGGUUGGUAACAUUGAAGAGACGCUUCUCACCUGCCUGAAAUGGCCGACGUUAUCUUCAAGUUGCAAGGGCUCCGGAACAGCCCUUGCAGUGCUCCCAUAAAGGGAAGCAUCACAUUUUACUGUAGUUCUUUGCUUUUUUUUCUUUUUUAUGCCUAUAGGGAU